AGGAUUUUAAGUUAUAUAAACUGAAAGCCUUCAAAGCUUUAAAAAAAAGUAAUCUUUUAAAUCCUA
rnacentral:tRNA from 1 species